rnacentral:rRNA from 1 species
UACGGAGGGAGCUAGCGUUGUUCGGAAUUACUGGGCGUAAAGCGCACGUAGGCGGCUUUUCAAGUCAGGGGUGAAAUCCCGGGGCUCAACCCCGGAACUGCCCUUGAAACUGGAUGGCUAGAAUCUUGGAGAGGCGAGUGGAAUUCCGAGUGUAGAGGUGAAAUUCGUAGAUAUUCGGAAGAACACCAGUGGCGAAGGCGACUCGCUGGACAAGUAUUGACGCUGAGGUGCGAAAGCGUGGGGAGCAAACAGG